rnacentral:rRNA from 1 species
UACCCGCAGCACAAGUGGUGGUCAUUAUUAUUGGGCCUAAAGCGUCCGUAGCUGGCUUGUUAGAUGCCUGGGUAAAUCGAUGCGCUCAACGUAUCGACUUCCGGGUAGACCGGCAAGCUCGAGACCGGGAGAGGUGUAGGCUACUCGAGGGGUAGGGGUAAAAUCCUGUAAUCCUUCGGGGAGGACCAGUGGCGAAGGCGCUACACUAGAACGGCUCUGACAGUGAGGGACGAAGCCC